UGCGCGCGGGAUUCCGGGCUGGUGUUCGCGUCCAAGUGUCGCGCGAGUUGCUCUUCAGAAAGGCAGUCAGGAAACGGGUCGUUCUGAAGAGCUCCGCGUCAGGGAAGACUGAAGGAGAGCCGAGGCCCCAUGGUUGAAAGCAGUUGCUGUUGUGGGGUUGUCUUUUCACUUUCCAGAUGGUAUCAGUUGCAGUAUGAAGGUUUUUAUGGCCUGUUGAUCACCAUAUUAGGAAGAGUUUCAUGUGUUAAGGGUAUAUGGUACAUUGAAGAAAGAAUAGAAGAUGAAGAGCCUUAUGAGGAUUAGAGUUUGAAAAAUGGGCAUUGCUCUGACAGUUUGGAACUGCUUUUGAUGACAUAUAUAAGUAGGAAUAAAUGGUAUAAUAUUGCUUCUGAUUAACCCAAUUGGGGUAGAGGUGGUAAGAUUAUGUGUAUUAGAGGAGUGGAAUAAGAUGAGGUCAUCUGUGGAAAUAUGACCUUCGAUUCAGUGUACACUCUUGAAUAAGAGUGUAGCUGGCCUUGGAAUUUACUUUAGACUCAGCACUUAAAUAUAUAUGUAUAUUUAUAAAUAUUAAUUUAUAUUCAAUAUUCUAUAUAUAUAUAUAUAAUAUAUAUAUCUAUCUUAUAGUUUUCUGGCCUCUAUUUUCUUAUUGGCAAGUUUUCUGCUAGCCCAACUGCUAAUUCUCCUAAUUUUUACUCUCUGGUUGCCUUAGAUUUUUUUUUAAAUAUGCCUACAUGGGUAGCUUCCACUUACUUUGAUCCUUGUCUUGGAUUUAUUCUGCAGUUCAGCAGACAUUUUUCUACCAGAAGAUGCUUAAAUGUCAUCUGCCAAAUUGGGAUUCUCUGCAAUAUAAUUUAGUGCUAAAACCAGGGAUCCUAUUAAUUAUAAAUUCCCUAAGUUGUGAUUAAAAAUGAACAAAAAACUAAUGUAAUUCAGUGAAUUUUUAAUGGCCCUCAGGCUUGAAGUUAGUCAAAGUGUUUUUGAGAAUUGGGAAUUUAAAUAUUUUAUAUCUCAGUUCCUUUAGCUGCUUUAAGUUUUUCUUUUUUAAUUUAACAAAUAUAUCAGGCAUUAUUGUCACUCACCCAAUUAGCUGUGUUUACUUACAGGGCUGAGUGAAUCAUGAAAACACAGAUUCAUGGGAUUAAAAAUGAGUCUUAGUCAUCAUCUAGAAUAUGCACAUUGGGUGUAUUGAAAAGGGCGUUGGUCAGAAUGAGACUUGGGCUAGUUUCAAUUAUGAGACCUCUAACUUUAUAAGUAGUUCCUAAAACUAGGGCUUCAUUUUCUUCAUUAGUAAAAGGAGGGACAUUGGAUUAGAUGAACUUUAUACUUUCUUCCUUUUCUGAAAUUAUAAGAAGAAUCAUCAGAAAUAUGCAUAAUAAAUUUAAUAUAGCUUACUUCAUUGUUGGAAGUUACUGGAGAGUCGUAAUUGCUAGAAAAUUUUUCCUUACAUUCCAGUUCAUUUAGUUCCUAGAUGUGUGACUUUGGGUGAGUUACUGUCUUAUUACCCAGUCAAUAAAUACAAUAAUAAACCUCAGGGCAAUUUUCCUUUUACUAAAGUCUGCUUUAUGUGAUAUUAACGUGGCCACUCCAGGUUUUAUUUUGUUUUUUAGUGUUUGCAUCUUUUUACUCUUUAACCUUUAUAUACCAUGAUAUUUCACGUGGUUUCUCAUAGAUAGCAUGUAAUUGUCUUUUUUUUUAAUCUACUCUAUGUGUUUUAAUAGCCAUAUUAGACCAUUUAAAUUUAAUCUUUCAUUUUGUUGGAUUUAAGUGUACCAUUUAUCAUUAAUUUUCUGUUGUGCCUUCUCUUUUUCACUCCUGUUUUCCUUUCUGGCUUUCUUUUGAAUUAUUUGAAUAUUUUUCAGAAUCCUCUUGUUAUUUUGGCUUUUAAAAAUAUGUCUCCAUGCAUAUUUUUUUGAAUGGUUGCUGUAGAGGAUGUUGUAUACCAAGUUAUUUUUGUAAUCUACCUAGAAUUUCUUACCACUUCAAGAAAAAUAAAGAAACUUUACUACCAUACAGGGUCCUUUAGUACCUCCACAUUAGGAUGCAGUUCUCAUACAUAUUAGGUUUAUAUACAUUGAAAAUCCCAUCAAUGUUAUAAAUUUUUUAUUUCAGCAUUAUAUGUAUUUUAACAAACUUAAAAGGUGAAAAAGUAGUCUAUUCUGUUUACUCAGAUAUUACCAUUUCUGUUGCUCUCCCUUCUUUCCUGGCAUUCCAGAGUCCUCUCUGCUGUCAUGUCCCUUCCCUGUCAAAUUUCUUUAGCAUUUCUUUUAAGACACGUCUACUGGUAAUGGAUUCUCUAAGUUUUCCUUUUUCUGAAAUGUCUUUAUUGCACUUUCCUUCCUGAAGGACGUAUUUGCUGGUUAAAGGAUUCUGGGUUGAUCAUUUUUUUUGUUUUUUGUUUUUGAAGGCACUUUAUAAACAGUGUGUCACUGUUUCUGGCCUCCAUGAUUUCUGAUGAGAAAUCUGCCAUAAUUCACAUCUUUGUUUCCCCAUAUGUACAGUGUCAUUUUCCUCUGGCUGUUUAAAAAACCUCUUCUUUAUGUUUAGUUUCAUCAGUUUGGUUGUGAUGUGCCUGGGUAAUGGUUAUACUUCCCCUUUUUGGAGUUUGCUGUGCCAGUGGACCUGCUGUAAAUAUAUAAUUUUUGUAAAUGUAUAUAAAUUUAUGCCUUUCACCAAA